GAUAAUUAGUACCAUUAAAGUCAUUAAAAGUUAAUCAAGUGUUAAUUAAUUUAUCAACUAAGUUUAAUUAGUGUGAAUUCUUAUUUUAAUAAUUGCAUACUAUUUUCUAACAUUAAUAAUAUCAUUAUGGUUUAAUAUUAAAUUAAUUAUGAUCAUUUAAAGUCGUAUUUACAUAAAAAUAUAUGAAGGGCUAAGUUGCAAAAGAACAUAAUACCCAAGGACUAAAAAGAUACCUGGUAUAGACAUCCUGGUAUGUGCCUAUCAUCCCUCUGGUCUCCUUCUCUCCAAACUUUAUCCCUCUUACUUUUUAUUAUUUUAUGUUUCUCUCUCUCCUCAACACCAAAGGUUUGGACAUUGAUAAAUAUGACCUUAGGAAGUGAGUAGAAAACAUUUCUACUCCCCGCGUGAAAUUUAAUUAUGCUGAUUAUGUUUAUGAGUGGUUGUUGUUCUAAUAGUUGAGUACGGAGUAACUGAUAAAUGAUGCUCCUUCACUAAUAUUACAGGCAUUGUGUUAUGAGUUACUAAUUAGCAAAUUGGUUUUCUAGAAGCGAGUUCUCCCUUAAGGUAAAAGUUUAGUGGGCUCAUUAUUAUCAUUUUUCUGAAAAGUAAGAAUUAUGUUAAUUUACCACCCGGGUAUAGCUCAGUAGGUGAAGGUAAGGAUGUGAUUGCAGAAUAUGACCUCCCGCCCGGGUUCGAAUCCUGAUUCGAGCUUUGGUUGAUUAUCAGGAGCAUCCUCUCCCUCUCCCAACUGAGGCACGUGCCGCGAUUUACCUCUCACGUGUAGCCCUAGUGGUGGGGUGGCGUGGGCCCCUUGGGGGUGGGGGAAUAAACCUUUUGCAGAAGAAUUAUGUUAAUUAGAUGAAUUGAUGUACUGUAUGCAAUUUUUCAAGCAUUAUAAUUCAUGGUUGUGUAUAUCAUAGAGGUAUACUUUCUAUAAUUCAGUGAAUUUGUAUUCUAAUUAAUUAAUUUGUGUUGCAAGUUUACAAGGGCUUUGAAGAUAAGCAGCAUUCUAGCGUGAGAAAUAUGUACACAAACAAUUGGUGGCAUGCAUGCAGCUCUUUGUUAAUUGGUUGGAAGGUUUGGAAAGUUCAUGGACAUAUAUGACCAGUCAUGAAAGAAUUGAACAAGAUAAAUAUGAUGCCUCACGGCAAAAGGUUGUGAGUACCUGCAUGAACAAUGGGAAGAGUUGUAUGGUAUUUUGGUGUGAAAUUGAUAUAAUUGGAUUUGAGAAUGAAAUGAUCAGAAGUACGAUUAUGAGCCAGAUUAGAAAGAGAUAAUGCCUAACCUUCAAUCUUCUUCAUAUUGCUGUUGAGAGUAAGAGAAUGAUAUGGUGCUAUAGAAUUGUUCUUCAUGUGAUAGCGUUUUUUUUUUUAUCUUCAAACUUUCUCAGAGCUACGUUGUAUCUUCCUUGUACUUCCAACCUGUACAUGUAGAGCAUCUAUCUUGAACUAGAAGCUAAAGUGUCUAAAUUUCUAUCAUGAUUGAUAUGUCACUAAUUUUGCAUAUUUUGUAUUUCAUACAGUUUCAAAUCUGGCUCCUAUUGAAUUCCUUG